rnacentral:lncRNA from 1 species
GUGAGUAUAAGGGUAAUAUAGCAAUGGUGUAUGUUUGUGGUGAGUAUAAGGGUAAUAUAGCAAUGGUGUAUGUUUGUGGUGAGUAUAAGGGUAUUAUAGCAAUGGUGUAUGUUUGUUGUGAGUAUAAGGGUAAUAUAGCAAUGGUGUAUGUUUGUGGUGAGUAUAAGGGUAAUAGCAAUGGUGUAUGUUUGUGGGUGAGUAUAGGGUAUAUAGCAAUGGUGUAUGUUUGUGGUGAGUGUAUAAGGGUAAUAUAGCAAUGGUGUAUGUUUGUGGUGAGUAUAAGGUAUAGGCAAUGGUGUAUGUUUGUUGUGAGUAUAAGGGUUAUAUAGCAAUGGUGUAUGUUUGUGGUGAGUAUAAGGGUGAUAUAGCAAUGGUGUUUGUUUGUGGUGAGUAUAAGGGUAAUAUAGCAAUGGCGUAUGUUUGUGGUGAGUAUAAGGGUAAUAUAACAAUGGUGUAUGUUUGUGGUGAGUAUAAGGGUAAUAUAGCAAUGGUGUAUGUUUGUGAUGUGUAUAAGGGUAAUAUAGCAAUGGUGUAUGUGUGUGUUGUGAGUAUAAGGGGAGAUAUAGCAAUGGUGUAUGUUUGUGAUGAGUAUAAGGGUAAUAUAGCAAUGGUGUAUGUUUGUGU